AUUACCAGUGUGUCAGGCAAUCUGGACUUUCCAGUGAUGCCACUGAGAUGGCACCUGUCAAAAGAGCAGUGGUUCCAUUUCUAGAUUGUGGAUCUUCAGAUAAAUUCUGCCAUUUUCAUUUCACUUCCUGAAAGUCAGGGUCGGCUUGUGAAAAGUUGUUAAACAACAUGCUAAAUGUGAAAUGUCAACCCUCACUCUAAACUUUCCCUGUUCAGAGCAUCAGAUGAAGACUUCAUUGGGUUUUAUAGUGGCUUUCUGAUUUUUGGUAGUCCAUUGAAGAAGGGAGUUUGAAAGUUGUUGUAUACUGUUAACAAUUGUCUGCCCAUGUCCUGCCUGAAAU
rnacentral:lncRNA from 1 species